UUACACAUGCAAGUCGAACGGUAACAGGGAGCUUGCUCCCCUGACNAGUGGGGAACGGGUGAGUAAUGCAUCGGAACGUGCCNAGUAGUGGGGGAUAACGCCNCGAAAGUUGGGCUAAUACCGCAUACCUACUGACGUACAAAGGGGGGGACCUUCGGGCCUUCCGCUAUUCGAGCGGCCGAUGUCUGAUUAGGUAGUUGGUGAGGUAAAGGCUCACCUANGCGACGAUCAGUAGCUGGUCUGANAGGAUGAUCCGCCACACUGGGACUGAGACACGGCCCANACUCCUACAGGAGGCAGCAGUGGGGAAUUUUGGACAAUGGGCGAAAGCCUGAUCCCCCCAUGCCGCGUGGCUGANGAAGGCCUUCGGGUUGUAAANNACUUUUGUCNUGGAGGAAAAGCNNAGGGGUAAUACCUCNGAGUCAUGACGGUACCACAAGAAUAANCNCCGGCUAACUACNUGCC
rnacentral:rRNA from 1 species